UAUCUCUCUCUCUCUCUCUCUGUGCGAGAGUAUGAUAAAAAUAAAAAGAAAAAAAAAAAAAGAACGUUUUCAAUAAGAAGAUGGUGAAACGUGACGUCUCAUAAAUCACGAAGAUCUUCAAGAUCAUCGGGAUCAUCGUUCUGCGUCACACAUCUCUUAACCCACGCAAACAAUUUUCUGGUAAGGAAAGUAGAAGGAAGAGAAGAAAAUGUCAACUAGACCAGGAAGAAUCUACUAGAGCGGAAAUGAAGUGUAAGAAGUCCGUAUCAUUGCUGACAGAUCGAUGCACGUUGCUCGCCAUAGAAAAUAGUUUAAAUCCUAAUUAAGGUAGCACGCGUGCAUCCACAACUCAAAGAACACAGAGCCUAGGAAAUCUCGUUUUCAACCCCUUCCUCGCAUCAACUCAUUCGAGAAUGAUUUACGAUAUUAGACUCGAAUGAGAAAAGGAAAAUUUACAUUGUCAACGGUAACUGCAAUUGUCCACGGUGACUUUUUGUCGAACAAAGAAGACCAAAAAAUAUGGAUGAACAUACGGCAGAGGAGUUAUUUUGUAACGCGUGUGGCCUCAACUUGAAAGAAACCUACCUAUCUACCUACCACCACCACCAUCACUGUGAUUUAUAAGAUCUCGAAAGAGACGAGAGAAGGAACAACCCGCACGUUCAUUCCUGAAUCCUACAACUCCCGUGAUGCAUUAUUAGUCUUUUUCUUUCUUUUACUUUCUUAUUCCUUCUUCUCUCUCUCCCCUUGUUCCAUUCUUCACUGGAUUUUCUGGAAUUCGGUUCAUUACGCCUACGCUUUAUCUUCAAUUAUCUCGCCAUCGAAUUUAUAUUGAUAAUUUAUGUCCACAUGUACUCCUGUUUCUUUUUCUUUUUUUUUUUUUUAAACCUCUACAUAAGAAUUUCAUUUAAUUAGCGUAAAAAACAUUCUGGGGUAACUACGUAUAUAUAUAUAGAUCAUUCUCGGUGAAUAUUUAAUAAAAAUCAUUUGUACAAAGAGGAGAUACAGAAGCUACAAAUAAAUAAGUAAGGUACUAACGGUGAAGGAAAAAAACACGUUAUCAUGUGAUUGAACAACGACGACGUGCUGUUUGAUUUAUACCUAUCGUAAAGGUAAUAAAUAAGACGAUUCAAGUGACGUCACGCGUCAAUCUUAAUAGGACGUUAAUUAACUUAGACAACCCGAGGCCUUUGGAAUUUUACCAAGUGUUGAUCUCUCUCUCUCUUUCUCUCUUUCUUUCUUUUCUUCUUUGACAAUAAACUUACGACAGUUAGAAUAGUAUUUCGCGAACAAGUUAGUAUAAACGUGUAACAAAGUAUCAAAUAGGUUGGUUUAAUGAUCUUGUCGUUAAAUCGAAAAUCUUUGACUUCUCUUAGGAUUUUCAUUUCCGCAGAAUGAUCAUUUUAUAUAUAGAAACGUCGAUUCCCGGUGUUUCUCGCUUGGCUAAAGCCAAGCACUAAAAAUGCGAAAUAGAUUUGGCCAAGUUAAUCGUUGGUGUAGCAUCUGGUAACGCUGACGAAAGAUCGUAAAAUCGCGAAGCAAGGGGAGUAAGAAAAAGGUUAUGGGGGAUGAUUUAAAACCCUUAUAAAAUUAUUACGACGAAACCAUGAGGGUAUAAGUAACAGUAGCUACGAAUAAAAUUCGAAUGGAUUUUUCGUGUUUGGUGGUAUAUUAUCGAUGUCGAAUAUAUGUCACCAGGAAUAGUUAACGAUCUUAACCAUAUAGGAAAAAAGAAAAAAAAAAAAAAAGAAAAAAAAAAAGAAAAUAAAGUAUAAAAGCAUCGUCGUACUUUUGAACGCAUCCUGUUUGUAUUUUCAGCCGUUUCGAAAAUAUCGUAAAAUCAUUUCUCGAUGGCAUUUACGACGUCUCUCGCGAACAUGGGAAUAAUUAUUUUUCAUCGCGUUACGUUUAACCGAAAGAAGAAUUCCGUAGUCCGAAAUCCGCGAGAUAAACCUAGUUCUUCUUGUUUUUUUUUUUUUUCAAGAAAAAAUUUGUCGUUAAUUUUAAACGAAUCCGAGUUCCGUCCGGUUGAUUGGAUCAUCAAAGAGUUGAGAUGAAUAAAGUAAAAGGAAUACAAAGUUGAAAAGAAAGAAGGAGAUCAAAGACAAUGUUUUUUCUUUCUAUUUUUUUUUUUAUUUUGUUUUGUUAGCUUUUGUUAACAAAAAGAAUCCUCCUGGUUCCUUCGUCUACGAGAGGUACCCUUAAUCACACCUAAAUAACAUUUUGUAAAGUGAUAAAUUAGGCGAGUUUCUCUUGCCAUCGUAGAUAAUAGUCUUUGAAACACUCAGCAAAGCGUUCUCUCUUUUCUUCGUUUUCCCAGACACGUUCAUAUGCAUAUCUAUAUAUAUAUAUAUAUAUGUUUGUACAAGUAGGUGUCUUAUGGUUCAUCUCCAGAAUGCGACUAUCGAUCAUGAAACUCGCAAGUUAAGUGAAACCGGUGCGUGAGCUCGACCAUUAUUUUAAUUAUUUUUAUUUUUCUUAUUGUUGCUGAUUUAUAUAUGAGAAUAUUUGAAAGGUUCUACCUUCUUUCGAUAAUUUAAAUAUAAUAUAUAUUCCUAUGCGAAAAUAUAUUGAA
rnacentral:lncRNA from 1 species